rnacentral:rRNA from 1 species
UGGGGAACCUGCCCCAUAGUCUGGGAUACCACUUGGAAACAGGUGCUAAUACCGGAUAAGAAAGCAGAUCGCAUGAUCAGCUUUUAAAAGGCGGCGUAAGCUGUCGCUAUGGGAUGGGCCCCGCGGUGCAUUAGCUAGUUUGUAAGGUAAAGGCUUACCAAGGCGAUGAUGCAUAGCCGAGUUGAGAGACUGAUCGGCCCACAUUGGGACUGAGACACGGCCCAAACUCCUACGGGAGGCAGCAGCC